AAAAGCCCGGAGAGAGAGAGAGAGAGAGAACGCGUUCACAUCUUAAUACCACAUCGUGUGUUCUCGCAGACGAAGAAGAAGGAGAAGAAGGAGAAGAAGGAAGGGUCAAGAAAGAGGAAAAGAAGAGGAUUUAUUUACUCGACCUACUUUGGAUCUCUCUUUUGCCUGCGUGUGUCAUUAUUAUCGCCGUUCUCUAUUUUUACACUUCGCCGUGAAUUCGUCUCCUCUGCGAAUUUAGUCACAUCCGAUUUUUUUUUG